rnacentral:rRNA from 1 species
UAAUACGUAGGGUGCGAGCGUUAAUCGGAAUUACUGGGCGUAAAGCGGGCGCAGACGGUUACUUAAGCAGGAUGUGAAAUCCCCGGGCUCAACCCGGGAACUGCGUUCUGAACUGGGUGACUCGAGUGUGUCAGAGGGAGGUAGAAUUCCACGUGUAGCAGUGAAAUGCGUAGAGAUGUGGAGGAAUACCGAUGGCGAAGGCAGCCUCCUGGGAUAACACUGACGUUCAUGCCCGAAAGCGUGGGUAGCAAACAGGAUUAGAUACCCUGGUAGUCCACGCCCUAAACGAUGUCAAUUAGCUGUUGGGCAACUUGAUUGCUUAGUAGCGUAGCUAACGCGUGAAAUUGACCGCCUGGGGAGUACGGUCGCAAGAUUAAAACUCAAAGGAAUUGACGGGGACCCGCACAAGCGGUGGAUGAUGUGGAUUAAUUCGAUGCAACGCGAAGAACCUUACCUGGUCUUGACAUGUACGGAAUCCUCCAGAGACGGAGGAGUGCCUUCGGGAGCCGUAACACAGGUGCUGCAUGGCUGUCGUCAGCUCGUGUCGUGAGAUGUUGGGUUAAGUCCCGCAACGAGCGCAACCCUUGUCAUUAGUUGCCAUCAUUCAGUUGGGCACUCUAAUGAGACUGCCGGUGACAAGCCGGAGGAAGGUGGGGAUGACGUCAAGUCCUCAUGGCCCUUAUGACCAGGGCUUCACACGUCAUACAAUGGUCGGUACAGAGGGUAGCCAAGCCGCGAGGCGGAGCCAAUCUCACAAAACCGAUCGUAGUCCGGAUUGCACUCUGCAACUCGAGUGCAUGAAGUCGGAAUCGCUAGUAAUCGCAGGUCAGCAUACUGCGGUGAAUACGUUCCCGGGUCUUGUACACACCGCCCGUCACACCAUGGGAGUGGGGGAUACCAGAAGUAGGUAGGGUAACCGCAAGGAGUCCGCUUACCACGGUAUGCUUCAUGACUGGGGUGAAGUCGUAACAAGGUAGCCGUAGGGGAACCUGCGGCUG